AGAGAGCGACGGGCGAUGUGUACACACUUCAGAGCUAAUUUCAAAUAAGAAUUUUAUUAUUAAUUUACUACUAAAUCCACCUUAAUAAUACAUCUACGUAUAUUAAUCCGUAUAAAUUAAAUUUAUUGUAACCCACUACCCCCAUAUUUAUAAGCUGCACCUUGACCUGAAGUCUUAGACCUUAACUAAUUAGACUAUAUUUUUAAAAAAUAAUCUGACAACGGCGGUAUACAAACUGUAAACAAAAAUAUGUGUAUUUAAACGCGGAUUAUCGAUCCAGGAGCAGGUUCCUCUAGUAAGAAUGAAGUACCGCCAAAUUCUUUAGGUUUAAAUAUUUUUACUACCCCGGCAAUAAAUUCAAUAAAGAAUAAUAGGGUAUCUAAUCCUAGUUUAAACCUUUAUUUAAAAAGAUAAUAAAUUCUUACAUAAUUUUUAAUUUAAAAAAAUAAAAAUUUUACCCUUAAUUUUUUAUUCAAAAAAUAAUAACAAAAAUUAAUAUUUACUUAAUUCCACCAAACUAUUUCAUUCAAAUCCUUCGUAUAACC
rnacentral:rRNA from 1 species